AGGCGAUGAAGGACGUACUAGACUGCGAUAAGCUAUGGGGAGCUGUCAAGAUGCUUUGAUCCAUAGAUUUCCGAAUGGGGCAACCCAAUACAUAGCAAUAUGUAUUACCUUAAAUGGAGCGAACCUAGUGAAGUGAAACAUCUCAGUAACUAGAGGAAAAGAAAUCAAUAGAGAUUCUCUUAGUAGCGGCGAGCGAACGGGGAACAGGGCAAACCAGUAGCUUGCUACUGGGGUUGAGGACUGCAACAUCCACGGAGAGACUCUAAUAGAACAUUCUGGAAAGGAUAGCCACAGAGGGUGAUAGCCCCGUAUAUGAAAGAGUCUUUCUAGGUAGCAGGAUCCAGAGUAGGUCAGGACACGUGAAAUCCGGGCUGAAGCAGGGGAGACCACUCUCCAACCCUAAAUACUACUACUACACCGAUAGCGAACCAGUACCGUGAGGGAAAGGUGAAAAGAACCGCAGUGAGCGGAGUGAAAUAGAACCUGAAACCAUUUGCCUACAAUCAUUCAGAGCCCUAUGAUUUAUCAGGGUGAUGGACUGCCUUUUGCAUAAUGAUCCUGCGAGUUGUGGUAUCUGGCAAGGUUAAACUAAUGUGAAGCCGUAGCGAAAGCGAGUCUGAAAGGGCGAUUUAGUCAGAUGCUGCAGACCCGAAGCUGAGUGAUCUAUCCAUGGCCAAGUUGAAAGUGGGGUAACACCUACCGGAGGACUGAACUCGUACCCAUUGAAACGGGUUGGGAUGAGCUGUGGAUAGGGGUGAAAGGCCAAUCAAACUCAGUGAUAGCUGGUUCUCUUCGAAAUAUAUUUAGGUAUAGCCUCAAGUGAUAGUAAUAGGGGGUAGAGCUCUGAUUGGGCUAGGGCUGCUCACCGCGGUACCAACCCCUGUCAAACUACGAAUACCUAUUACCGUAUCUUGGGAGUCAGGCGGUGGGUGAUAAAAUCAAUCGUCUAAAGGGGAACAACCCAGACUACCAACUAAGGUCCCAAAGUUCUAUUCUAAGUGGAAAAAGAUGUGGAGUUACUCAGACAACCAGGAGGUUGGCUUAGAAGCAGCCAUCCUUUAAAGAUAGCGUAACAGCUCACUGGUCUAGUGAUUCUGCGCUGAAAAUAUAACGGGGCUAAGAUAGACACCGAAGUUGUAGAUUGUGCUGAUGCACAGUGGUAGAAGAGCGUUCACAUCAGCGUUGAAGCCAUACCGGUAAGGAGUGGUGGAGCGGUGUGAAGUGAGCAUGCAGGAAUGAGUAGCGAUAAAAGUGGUGAGAAUCCACUUCGCCGAAAAUCUAAGGUUUCCUACGCUAUGCUCGUCAUCGUAGGGUUAGUCGGGUCCUAAGACAAGUCAGAAAUGGGUAGUCGAUGGAAAAUAGGUUAAUAUUCCUAUACCAACAUUAGUGUGCGAUGGGGGGACGCAUAGGGUCAAGACAAGCUGACGGAUAGAAGUGUCAGUCGAAGGGUGCAAGUUAGGAGAUUGGUAAAUCCGCUCCCGUAUCCCAAACCCAACAGGCAUACCAAAACCUUCGGGUAGCGGUGUGAAUUGUUAAGAUCGUCGUGCCAAGAAAAGCCUCUAAGUUUAGCUAAUGUUGCCCGUACCGUAAACCGACACAGGUAGAUGAGAUGAGUAUUCUAAGGCGCGUGAAAGAACUCUCUUUAAGGAACUCUGCAAACUAACACCGUAAGUUCGCGAUAAGGUGUGCCACUUUAAGUGGUCUCAGCAAAGAGUCCCUCCCGACUGUUUACCAAAAACACAGCACUUUGCCAACUCGUAAGAGGAAGUAUAAGGUGUGACGCCUGCCCGGUGCUCGAAGGUUAAGAGGAUUAGUCAGCCGCAAGGUGAAGCUUUGAAUUGAAGCCCGAGUAAACGGCGGCCGUAACUAUAACGGUCCUAAGGUAGCGAAAUUCCUUGUCGGUUAAAUACCGACCUGCAUGAAUGGCGUAACGAGAUGGGAGCUGUCUCAAAGAGUGAUUCAGUGAAAUUGUAGUGGAGGUGAAAAUUCCUCCUACCCGCGGCAAGACGGAAAGACCCCGUGGACCUUUACUACAGCUUGGCACUGCCGAUGGGAGCAUUAUGCGCAGCAUAGGUGGGAGGCUUUGAAAUCUUUACUCCGGUAGAGAUGGAGCCACCGUUGAGAUACCACCCUUAAUGUUUCUGUCUGCUAACUAGCUAGAGUUAUCCUCUAGUAGGACAAUGCCUGGUGGGUAGUUUGACUGGGGCGGUCGCCUCCUAAAAAGUAACGGAGGCUUGCAAAGGUUGGCUCAAAAUGGUUGGAAAUCAUUUGUAGAGUGUAAUGGCAUAAGCCAGCCUGACUGUAAGACAAACAAGUCAAGCAGAGACGAAAGUCGGUCAUAGUGAUCCGGUGAUUCUGUGUGGAAGGGUCAUCGCUCAAAGGAUAAAAGGUACCCCGGGGAUAACAGGCUGAUCUCCCCCAAGAGCUCACAUCGACGGGGAGGUUUGGCACCUCGAUGUCGGCUCAUCGCAUCCUGGGGCUGGAGCAGGUCCCAAGGGUAUGGCUGUUCGCCAUUUAAAGCGGUACGCGAGCUGGGUUCAGAACGUCGUGAGACAGUUCGGUCCCUAUCUGCCGUGGGCGUAGGAAAGUUGAGGAGAUCUGUCCCUAGUACGAGAGGACCGGGAUGGACAUACCACUGGUGUAGCUGUUGUCCUGCUAUGGGCAUCGCAGCGUAGCUACGUAUGGAUGUGAUAAACGCUGAARGCAUCUAAG
rnacentral:rRNA from 1 species